rnacentral:misc_RNA from 1 species
ACAGCCACUGGCAGGGGCAACAACCAUUUGCGCGCGAGCACGAUCCGACGGUCUCAAACCAGGCUACUAUUUAUUGUCACGCGCCAGAGACUCCGCGAUGCCCUUGGAGACGCAGUACGCGGUGGACUGUAUGGUGAUCAUGGGGUUGACGCCCACCGCCGUGGGCAGCAGGCUGCCAUCGCACACGUACAGCCCCUCCGCCUCCCAGCUCUCGCCGCGGCCGUCCACGGCGCCGUGUUUCGGGCUGGACCCCAUCCGGCAGCUGCCCAUCUGGUGCGCCGAGCAAUGGAGCGCCCACUUGUCAUGCCCCGGGACCAUGGGACCUUUCUCUACGGUCACCUGCUUCAGGAACGCCUCCAGGUCCUCGUCGCGGAGGCCGUCGCACCGCAGCCGGAGCCCGUCGCUGCGGUGGGUGCCGACCUCGGCCGCUCCGGCGGCCACCAGGAUGCGCAGCGUCUGGCGCAGCCCGUUGCGGAGCUCGUCCACGUCCUCCCGGCUCGGGGUGUAGCGCACGCGGCCCUCGCCGUCGACGUGCCCCGCGCCGCGGUCACGGACCAGGGCGAAGGCGUGCGCGGUGCGCGCGUAGCGGAGCAUGCGCUCCUUCAUGUCGCGGCCCGACUCCCAGGGGACCAGCGAAGCCCAGCAUCCUGGCCCCAGCGCCGGCGUCUGGAUGAUGGUGCGCGCGGUGACGCGACGCAUGGUCGUGAUGAUGCCACCCUCGUAGCACUUGCCACUGAGCUCUGCCUCCGGCGUGCUGUCCGGAAAGUAGCCCCACGCCAUAGACACCGGGUGCAGGUGAAGGUUGCGGCCGACGUGGCUGUUCUGGAGCCCGCUGUUGCGGAGCAGAGGCGGCGUCAUGAGCGCGCCACACGCCGAGACGGAAACCUUGGCCUCGAUGCGCAGCUUCUUGGUGAUGCCGUCGCUCAUGCACGUCGCCACCAGGCCCACGCACCUGUUGCUCCGGCCGUCCCUGCCGCCUGGGUUGCUCUCCAGCACAAAACGCUCGGCCUUGCAACCUGUGAGUACGACCGCGCCGCGCGCGACGGCGUCGACGAGCCACGUCGUGUCGGUGCCGCGCUUGUCGCCGGUGGGGCAGCCCAGGUGGCAGCUACCGCAGAAGUGGCCCUCCGACGAGUUGCGCGGCACGGCGUCGCCACGCAGCCCAAGCGCCUCGCAGCCGCGGCGGAGCACCUUGUUCUGGAACCCUUCCUCCCGGCACCCGCCGGUGACGGCGAGCCUGGCGCAAACCGCGUCCAUGGCGUGCGCGUACUCCGGCCUCCCGAACAUGGGGAGCCCAUGCUCGCGCGCCCACUCCUGCGUGACCCACUCCGGCGUGCGGACACUGGCGGACCAGUUGAUGGCAGAGCCGCCGCCGACCGUCGUGCCCGCGAACAUGAUGGUCGUCACGUUGGACGUGCAGAAGAUGCCCCCCUUCUCGUAGAGGCGCUCCAUGGACGGGCCCUCCACGGAGGUGUAGCUCUCGGCUGUGAAGUAGUCCCCCUUCUCAACGACGACGACCUUGCGCCCCGCCGCCGCCAGCACGGCGGCGGCCACGCCGCCUCCGCAGCCUGACCCGACGAUGACGACGUCGCAUUGCACGGUGUGGUGCGCGCCCGACACGCCCGCUUUCACCGCCACUCCUCUCUCCGUCAGUGACUUGAGCAGCGUGGCGUCGUUCAGGGAUCUGGUCUCCACGACGCCGCUGUCCAGUGGCCGCGGUGACGGCGCCUCUGCCUCCGCUGGACCUAAUUCCCGUGGCCGUAGCCUGUCCACGUCCGCCGCCGCCGCCGGCACGGGCACGCUGUAUCCUAUUGCUUUCCAGGACGGGUUGUCCGAGUUCUCGUUUACCUGCACGUUGGGAAAAUGAUACCCCACAUGACGAUGACAUCUUUGCAACCGUCAACGUCGGUAUUAGACCCCGGCCGGUCGGUUUUACAAUGAGCACGUUCUUUUGCCUUCGACUUAGCGAGCAGCUAGCUUGAUCCACAUGACACUACAGCUUAAAGCUAUUUUAAAUAAAAUAUUUGGUCAAAUGAUAUAUCUCUGUUUCUGGAUAAAUAGAUUCUUAGAGUUAUCUUUGCUCAGGGGUUUUUAAAUUUCAUUCGUAUUUUUAAAACCGUAAAUAUUUAUGAUAUUAGAUUAGCAUCAAUAAAUAUGCCAUGGAAUCUAAUUUUAUAAUAUGUUUAUUUUAUGUCAUAGAUAUUAUUACCCAUUUCUAUAAAGCUAGUUAAAAUGAAGAUAGUUUAACUUGUAUAGAUUAUUAUAGGAACUAAUUUACCCCACCCGACGCACGUGACGGGACAACUUCUUUUUCUUCUUAUUUAAUGGUCUAGGGAGUACUACGCUAAAUAGUGUUGCACUGUAGGGGCUCACUUCCGGCUUCCCCGUUGAUGUUGCGGUGCAUUGAUGACCUCAGUUGGUGGUAGAGCGGUAUACCCCGUUGAUGUUGUGGCCACUAAUGGGAGUAGAGCGCCUACCACACUACGGUGGUACUGUGUGAAAGGGGCUUGACAGUAAAGUGGGGCUAUAUGCACUUUCGGGCGGUUGUAGAAUUUUUAUAUGACCCGAACUAAAUCUACCAAAUUUUCUUCUUUUAAUUUUAUCUUAACUAUUUUAUACCGUAUUAAAUAAAGACUUAUAUAGAGUUACAUGGAUCAAGCCCCGGGCCACGGACCAGGUGGCCCAGGGUGUAGAUCCGCCACUGUAUGCACUAGCUCUAGAAAAUGACAGUAAAGUGGGGUUUAUUUCCAGAUACAUUAGUAUAUCACGUAGUGUUCGUUCCAGAUUAAAGACAUUUGUUCGGACCGUUGUAGCUGUAAUCUAUAGAGACAAAACAAAUAGUAGAAGUCGUUUUGGAUAAAAGCAACAUGAACAACUUAAAAUAUUUGUAGCUAUAGAUAGUUUCUGGCAUUUUGCAUGCGCAGACGUAGUAAUGGCUAGCUAGUUGUGUUAAUAAUGAGUAAUGAGUAGCUAGUUAGCUACAGUACUAUGUAAUAACUGGAUCGUAUCCAAAAUAAUGAGUUCAUAUUAAUAAUUGACCCUCUGAACUGGCUGCCCAUAAAACUGUACGUGUGCGAGCCUGUGAGCUACGCACGAAGUAGUGUCGUCCCCUAGCUACGUCCAUCUUCCAACCAAAAAUCAUCAUGGAGCUGAGUUAGGGACGUGGUAGAGCGGGUGGGGCUUGAAGCCUUCAACCCUCAUACCUCUCUAGAACCCAUAGAGUUUUAUUAAAGUCCCUCGUAAAAUAUAAAACAUACAUGAUAUUAUAUAUGUCUAUUAUGAGAAUUUAGUGAGAUUAUAUUGUUGUAGCGGUUAAAUUUAGUUUCUUCUAAAAAAAUUCUAGUUUCAUCCCUGCUAAGUGACACGCUGACAACACCACAUAUAUUAUCAGAGGACGUACUGCUUAUCGACAUCGACAUCCUAACUAAAGCUCGUCGACCUGUCUCCGUUUCUUCCAUGUGUAUGUGGCCCCAGACGUCAGGCUAAUCAAAAGGUUUAUUUAACAUAUAGCUAUAGCACCGAAAGAAGAGAAUCUAGAUAUAUAAUAAUUCAUCUAUAUCUAUCGUAGAGCUGCUUUACGAUAGAUUUGAGAUUCAUCCAUCUGUUUGGUUCAGCUCUAGAUUUCUCUAUACCUCACUACUAAUCUGGACCCACGUAUGAAAAAGAAUUUUGUUUGGAUAAGUCAUUUUAUUUUUUGUUUAGAUUAAAAACAAUUUUGAAAACCGUUUAAAUUUAUAUUAUACACCAUAACUUCACUUUGAAACUGGAAUCCAGUGCAGUGACAAACACCCCAUAAGUACUAUUCUUUUUACUGUAAUGAGUGGUAUGGUUAAUAUUUUUUUCUUAACACCACUAAACUGUUGGAUUUGACAGAGCACCGUUAGAGCUACUCUACCAAUUUAAUUAAAUUACUCAAUUCAUCUUUAUAUUAUCCCGGAUUAUGGUGCAUCAUAUGCACGGUGAAGUUGGUGAUGGUGAAGCUAUAUAAGCGUUUGGCUUAAAAAACAGAUCUAAAUUUAUUUUUGACGACAGUCUAUAUCUGGUAUAGAGGCUCUAGCUAAUAACUAACAAAGGCGCUAACACGAGUGGUAGGGUCCCUCAGCAGCAAACCAGGCAUGAAUAUAAUGUAAUGUGGCUACUACCGGCUAGCUAGCUGGAGUAUCUUUCAUGCUCCAACCUUCCCUGCCGCCGCAUGAAUUCUCUUGCCGCCCGGCGCCCGACAAGUCAUCCAAGUCCCUCUCUCUCUCCCACUACCCAAUCCAUGCGUGCUUUCAGGAAAACGAUGGUGAUUUAACGCCAACCGUUUCCAGUCCUGACAGGGAUUUUCGCUGGCACAUCUAUCAGAGAGGUAUUUAGUAUUUUAAAUCACUGCUGGCCUGUUAAAAAGUUGAAUUUUAAUUUGCUCUCAUUGGUAUAUGUAGAUUUUCUUGCCUCGGUCUCGUCCCUGUC